rnacentral:rRNA from 1 species
AGGACGAACGCUGGCGGCGCGCCUAACACAUGCAAGUCGAGCGAUAACCAGGGCUUGCCCUGGGGACAGCGGCGAACGGGUGCGUAACACGUGAGUAACCUGCCCCAAAGACCGGGACAACCCGAGGAAACUCGGACUAAUACCGGAUGCCCUCACCGGGUCGCAUGGUCUGGUGAGGAAAUGGAUUCCGCUUUGGGAUGGGCUUGCGGUCUAUCAGCUUGUUGGUGGGGUAACGGCCUACCAAGGCGACGACGGAUAGCUGGUCUGAGAGGACGAUCAGCCACACUGGGACUGAGACACGGCCCAGACUCCUACGGGAGGCAGCAGUGGGGAAUCUUGCGCAAUGGGGGAAACCCUGACGCAGCGACGCCGCGUGCGGGAUGAAGGCCUUCGGGUUGUAACCGCUUCAGCAGGGACGAAAUUGACGGUACCUGCAGAAGAAGGCCCGGCCAACUACGCGCCAGCAGCCGC